GUCCCCAUAGCUUAACUGGAUAAAGCGUAGCCCUCCGGAGGCUGAAAUCCCUGUUCGAGUCAGGGCGGGGACA
rnacentral:tRNA from 1 species